rnacentral:tRNA from 1 species
AGCUCAGGGGUAGAGCAUCACCUUGCCAAGGUGGAGGUCGCGGGUUCAAAUCCCGUC